GACGAACGCUGGCGGCGUGCUUAACACAUGCAAGUCGAGCGGUAAGGCCCUUUCGGGGGUACACGAGCGGCGAACGGGUGAGUAACACGUGGGUGACCUGCCCUUAGCUCUGGGAUAAGCCUGGGAAACUGGGUCUAAUACCGGAUAUGACCUCAUGACUCAUGUUGUGGGGUGGAAAGCCUUGUGCGGCUAGGGAUGGGGCCCNCGGUCUAUCAGCUUGUUGGUGGGGUAAUUGCCUACCAAGGCGACGACGGGUAGCCGGCCUGAGAGGGCGACCGGCCACACUGGGACUGAGACACGGCCCAGACUCCUACGGGAGGCAGCAGUGGGGAAUCUUGCGCAAUGGGCGAAAGCCUGACGCAGCGACGCCGCGUGAGGGAUGACGGCCUGGUU
rnacentral:rRNA from 1 species